rnacentral:rRNA from 1 species
GCGAAGAACCUUACCUUGGUUUGACCUUUUAGGGGAAAAGCCGUAGAGAUACGGUGUCCUUCGGGUCUACACAGGGGUGCAUGGGCUGUGGGUCAAGCUCGUGUUCGUUGAAGAAUUGUUGGGGUUAAAAGUUCCCCCGCAAACGAGCGCAACCCUUGUCCUAUGUUGCCAGCGGGUAAUGCCGGGGACUCGUAGGGGACUGCCGGGGUCAACUCGGAGGAAGGUGGGGAUGAGGUCAAGUCAUCAUGCCCCUUACAUCCAGGGCUGUACACAUGCUACAAUGGCCGGUACAACGGGCUGCUAUCCCGCGAGGGGGAGCCAAUCCCAAAAGCCGGUCUCAGUUCGGAUCGCAGUCUGCAACUCGACUGCGUGAAGUCGGAGUCGCUAGUAAUCCCGGAUCAGCAACGCCGGGGUGAAUACGUUCCCGGGCCUUGUACACACCGCCCGUCACACCACGAAAGUCGGUAACACCCGAAGCCGGUGGCCCAACCCUUGGGAGGGAGCCGUCGAAGGUGGGAUCGGUGAUUGGGGUGAAGUCGUAACAAGGUAGCCGUAAUCG